AGUGAACGCUGGCGGCGUGCCUAAUACAUGCAAGUCGAACGGAGUGGCGCACGGGUGAGUAAUGUAUAGCUAAUCUGCCCUACACUAGAGGACAACAGUUGGGAACGGCUGCUAAUACUCCAUAGUGUAGGGUGGGGCUAUAUUGUAUCAGCUAGUUGGUGAGGUAAUGGCUCACCAAGGCUAUGACGCAUAACUGGUCUGAGGGGAUGAUCAGUCACAUUGGAACUGAGACACGGGCCGGAAUCCUACGGGAGGCAGCAGUAGGGAAUAGUGCUCAAUGGGGGAAACCCUGAAGCGGCAACGCCGCGUGGAGGAUGACACUUUUCGGGGCGUAAACUCCUUUUGUUAGGGAAGCGGUACCUAACGAAUAAGCACCGGCUAACUCCGUGCCAGCAGCCGCGGUAAUAC
rnacentral:rRNA from 1 species